AUGCCUACGGGCCAAAGAGGGGGACCUUCGGGCCUCUCGCGUCAGGAUAUGCCUAGGUGGGAUUAGCUAGUUGGUGAGGUAAGGGCUCACCAAGGCGACGAUCCCUAGCUGGUCUGAGAGGAUGAUCAGCCACACUGGAACUGAGACACGGUCCAGACUCCUACGGGAGGCAGCAGUGGGGAAUAUUGCACAAUGGGCGCAAGCCUGAUGCAGCCAUGCCGCGUGUGUGAAGAAGGCCUUCGGGUUGUAAAGCACUUUCAGUCGUGAGGAAGGUAGUGUAGUUAAUAGCUGCAUUAUUUGACGUUAGCGACAGAAGAAGCACCGGCUAACUCCGUGCCAGCAGCCGCGGUAAUACGGAGGGUGCGAGCGUUAAUCGGAAUUACUGGGCGUAAAGCGCAUGCAGGUGGUUUGUUAAGUCAGAUGUGAAAGCCCGGGGCUCAACCUCGGAAUWGCAUUUGAAACUGGCAGACUAGAGUACUGUAGAGGGGGGUAGAAUUUCAGGUGUAGCGGUGAAAUGCGUAGAGAUCUGAAGGAAUACCGGUGGCGAAGGCGGCCCCCUGGACAGAUACUGACACUCAGAUGCGAAAGCGUGGGGAGCAAACAGGAUUAGAUACCCUGGUAGUCCACGCCGUAAACGAUGUCUACUUGGAGGUUGUGGCCUUGAGCCGUGGCUUUCGGAGCUAACGCGUUAAGUAGACCGCCUGGGGAGUACGGUCGCAAGAUUAAAACUCAAAUGAAUUGACGGGGGCCCGCACAAGCGGUGGAGCAUGUGGUUUAAUUCGAUGCAACGCGAAGAACCUUACCUACUCUUGACAUCCAGAGAACUUUCCAGAGAUGGAUUGGUGCCUUCGGGAACUCUGAGACAGGUGCUGCAUGGCUGUCGUCAGCUCGUGUUGUGAAAUGUUGGGUUAAGUCCCGCAACGAGCGCAACCCUUAUCCUUGUUUGCCAGCGAGUAAUGUCGGGAACUCCAGGGAGACUGCCGGUGAUAAACCGGAGGAAGGUGGGGACGACGUCAAGUCAUCAUGGCCCUUACGAGUAGGGCUACACACGUGCUACAAUGGCGCAUACAGAGGGCGGCCAACUUGCGAAAGUGAGCGAAUCCCAAAAAGUGCGUCGUAGUCCGGAUUGGAGUCUGCAACUCGACUCCAUGAAGUCGGAAUCGCUAGUAAUCGUGGAUCAGAAUGCCACGGUGAAUACGUUCCCGGGCCUUGUACACACCGCCCGUCACACCAUGGGAGUGGGCUGCAAAAGAAGUAGGUAGUUUAACCUU
rnacentral:rRNA from 1 species